CCCCUGCAGCCCAUCGCUUGAUCUCAACAUCAAGUGUUUCAGCAAUCCUAUGUCUCUCUGCUUGUUCCCUCUGAGCUUGAAGGUCCCGUUGAUUCUUCUCAGCCAGCGCUUUUGCCGCACGUUCCUGAGUCCUCUGGUGACGUUCCAACCUAGCUCUUCGCCUCUCUUCAGUUUCUCCUUCAAACUGUUGGAACUCUCCCGACGUUCCAGUAGCUCCAAAAAUCAAAGAUAGAUCAUCUUCAAUA
rnacentral:misc_RNA from 1 species